AACCAACGGUUCUCUUCCUCCCUGACUUUCUUCACGCUAAUCGGGAGUUUUUGAUUGUUGCCGCAUCUUUGGAUGAAGAGGAAUCGGCGGAAUCAGACAAGUUGCAUUGCGUGAAAGGAAGGAAAAUUAAAUAAAGGCUGCCAUCCCACAUGAAAUGAUCAUUGGCUCAAAAUAUCUGGCUUAAGCGUCCUUAAAGGUGCGUAUAUCAUCCCAUCCUUGCGAUCUUCACUCGGUGCUGCUCUUCACCAUCUGCACUGCCUAUUUUCUUGCUUUUUUCAAUAGUCGAAAUUUAGCAUGCGCCAUUUCUAUUUAUUUUAGUAACUAUCCCAUUGUUAUCCAAGGGUUCCAGAUUUGGAUUGACUUUCUUGUCUCUCCACGCAGCACUCUGUCUCAUUGUGCCGAGCCUAGUUUGAAAACGAUGUAUUCUUGGUAACUUACAUUGCCUGUUUACUCUUUUCAUUGGCAGUUUGUUUCCGAUCACUUGGGACUGCAGUUAUCACAAUUAUCUCUCUUCCAGUUGAGGAUUUUGAGUUUUGAUGUUUCCUCGAAUGUUUCCAUAACAUUAAGACCAGGAAACAUUUUCAUGAAAUUCUUUUCAGAAUGACUGUGGGCAUCUGUUGAAACUAUUGGCUUGCAAAUUUUGCCAAAUAUAAUGUGUAGCAGGAAUAGUGGAUGGUAUAAUGAUUGAUAUGUUAUGACCUCAAAUGGAAAUUAAUCUCAUAUCAUCCAAAUGUUCAUUAUUUGGGCUGGAUUCAGCAAAUUUAUAUCCAUGAGGCCCAUUGGGAGACAAAAUUCCCAGGCUUCAAAGACACCUAUUUGAAAUGUC